AGUGCGUUUUUGACCAGACUUCUUGUUACCUCAUUUUCAGAUGGAGAAACUGAUGUAAAAUGAAUGACCUGACUCCACCGUCACCACCCAGGAAGAUAAUUGCAAAGGUAGGAAUAAAGAUCAAGACAUGUAACCAAACUUUCAAAGAUGCUUCAGCGAAUAAAAUAUGCGGCUGAUACCACCUGCCACAUAGGCACAGCCGAAGAGGUUACUCCAGAGCAUUGCAGUUGGUGUCUGUACAAGGUUUCCUAGCCAACUUGAGUGCAAAGACCUAAGGGCUGGAACUGAAUCAACCUC